rnacentral:lncRNA from 1 species
AGGAGAAUGACGGAGAGGGAGGUGCAUGACUGAGACCCUGAGGGAUGGGGAGGAUGUGGGGGAGCAAAGACAGGAAGAAAAAGCACCAAGACAACAAUGCCAGCAACGGGGGCAUUCAGGCCACGAGACUCAUAGUAUCUGGAGACAAGGAGAUACUGGCAAGGAAGGAACACAGCGACCCCUGAAAAGCUUUUUGGCUCAAGACACUAAGUCUACUCGUUGCUCUAAGGUUCCCCAGCAAACUAGGGUUUGACACCACAUGGGAUGGGUUCCCUCUGCACGUGGACCGUCCAUCAGCCGAGCCUGGUGUCACGACAAGCUACCAUCACGUCUUCCACACUGCCCACGUUUAGAACAGCAGGAGUUAUAGGCUGGAGGAGCAUAGGGGCCAAUCAAAGAGGGCCAGGAAGCAGCGACGUCAUCUUUCCUCUCUCCUGCCCACCUCAAUCUCAUCCUUGGUGGAGGGGCACAGGCCACGGAAGGCAGACCGCCCCAGCCCAUCUCUCCCUGGGUCUUCAGUAACCCACUCUCUAUCCGGGAAGAAAGACUCCCAGGCAGGGUGACUUUAGCGCCAAGUCAUCCAGUCUGAGCUCCAAAGUGCUUUCAUCAGGAGGGAAAUGAUGGCUUUGUGUUAACAGGAAAUGGACCAGCGGCUGCUCAAAGACUCCCGUUGCCCUUCGGCAAAGACCCCUCUCCAGGCCUCCAGCAGAUGCGCUUCCUUCAUGAGAAGAGGGCCUUCUGCCUUCUAGAGGCCCCCUUCCCCAGAAAUAGGGCCUUUCAUCUCUUCCUGAGGUUUUCUUCCAAGAGCCCUUACCUGUCACCAGGAUGGUGGAUGAACCUGGAACACAUCUGCCCUUCUAACAGGCUCACCGUGUGGCUAAAAGCUUCCUUCCUUGAUUCGGAAUCUGACCUCAGCAGCCACACCUGCCACUUUUGGGAUGUGUCUCUUAAAGGUCCCUCCCUUACCCUCCUUCCCCACCCCAACUCUGCCCGCAGUCCCCCAGACAUUUAUCUGUUUGUUGCAACUGUUGGCUCUGUUUGAGACUUCCGGUCCUCUCCCCAGUGUCCUUACAGCCCCACAUAAACCAGCUCCUACAAGUGAAAUCAAGGUGGGUGGAGAAGGCAAAGCUUUGCCAAGCUUCAUCAGAAACUUCCACUGCAGUCUCAUUUUGAGCCCCAUCAGAAAGGUGUGUGGUCUCUACGAUAUAUGCAGUAUUUUCUAGAUAUUCUGCACACCACAGACCUGCCCAUGUUGCUUACCUAGUAACGUUCUAAAAAAGAAUCCUUCCCUAAAUAUCAUUUUGCGAGUUCCCAAAGAGGUGGCAAAAUAUUCAAUGAGUCUUUAAGAAAUAGCUCAGAAAGUUGGGAUAAAAUAAAAAAAGCCAACGGAAU